rnacentral:rRNA from 1 species
GUGGGGAAUAUUGGACAAUGGGCGAAAGCCUGAUCCAGCCAUGCCGCGUGUGUGAAGAAGGUCUUCGGAUUGUAAAGCACUUUAAGUUGGGAGGAAGGGCAGUAAGUUAAUACCUUGCUGUUUUGACGUUACCGACAGAAUAAGCACCGGCUAACUUCGUGCCAGCAGCCGCGGUAAUACGAAGGGUGCAAGCGUUAAUCGGAAUUACUGGACGUAAAGCGCGCGUAGGUGGUUUUGUAAGUUGGAGGUGAAAUCCCCGGGCUCAACCUGGGAACUGCCUCCAAAACUGCAUGACUAGAGUACGGUAGAGGGUAGUGGAAUUUCCUGUGUAGCGGUGAAAUGCGUAGAUAUAGGAAGGAACACCAGUGGCGAAGGCGACUACCUGGACUGAUACUGACACUGAGGUGCGAAAGCGUGGGGAGCAAACAGGAUUAGAAACCCCAGUAGUCC